rnacentral:miRNA from 8 species
UGGUGCAAAAGUAAUUGGGGUU